AAGGGCACAAAUAUCCUAAAGGUACCAGAUCCCAUCUGACCUUGGAAGCUAAGCAUUUUCAACCCUGGUUAGUACUUGGAUGAGAGGCAGCCAAUACCAGGUGCAGUAGGCUCUAU
rnacentral:rRNA from 11 species